rnacentral:rRNA from 1 species
CGGGGUGCAGCAGGCGCGAAAACUCUACAAUGCAGGCAACUGCGAUAGGGGAACAUCGAGUGAUCCUCAUAUUGGGGGUCUGUCCACCCGUCUAAAAAACGGGUGUUAGCAAGGGCCGGGCAAGACCGGUGCCAGCCGCCGCGGUAAUACCGGCGGCUCGAGUGGUGGCCGAUAUUAUUGAGUCUAAAGGGUCCGUAGCCGGCUUUGCAAGUCUCUCGGGAAAUCCAGCGGCUUAACCGUUGGUCGUCCGGGGGGUACUACAUUGCUUGGGACUGGGAGAGGUAGGAGGUACUCAGGGGGUAGGAGUGAAAUCCUGUAAUCCUUUGGGGACCACCGGUGGCGAAGGCGUCCUACCAGAACAGGUCCGACGGUGAGGGACGAAAGCUAGGGGCACGAACCGGAUUAGAUACCCGGGUAGUCCUAGCCGUAAACGAUGCUCGCUAGGUGUCACAACAGUCGUGAAUUGUUGUGGUGCCGUAGGGAAGCCGUGAAGCGAGCCACUUGGGAAGUACGACCGCAAGGUUGAAACUUAAAGGAAUUGGCGGGGGAGCAC